ACGCUCGACACCUACGGGAGGAGCAGUUGGGAAUAUUGGACAAUGGAGGAAACUCUGAUCCAGUGACGCCGCGUGAAGGAAGAAGGUCUUCGGAUUGUAAACUUAUUUUGUCAGGGAAGAAAAAUGACUGUACCUGAAGAAAAAGCACCGGCUAACUACGUGCCGACAGCCGGCCGGUAAGUACUGAGGCGGGCGUGGCGAAGGACG
rnacentral:rRNA from 1 species